GCGGCAUGCUAAUACAUGCAAGUCGAGCGGACGGAUGGGAGCUUGCUCCCUGAAGUCAGCGGCGGACGGGUGAGUAACACGUGGGCAACCUGCCUGAAAGAGUGGGAUAACUUCGGGAAGCCGGAGCUAAUACGGGAUAAUAAACAGCCUCUCAUGAGGCUAUGCUGAAAGAUGGUUUCGGCUAUCACUUACAGAUGGGCCCGCGGCGCAUUAGCUAGUUGGUGAGGUAACGGCUCACCAAGGCAACGAUGCGUAGCCGACCUGAGAGGGUGAUCGGCCACACUGGGACUGAGACACGGCCCAGACUCCUACGGGAGGCAGCAGUAGGGAAUCUUCCGCAAUGGACGAAAGUCUGACGGAGCAACGCCGCGUGAGUGAUGAAGGUUUUCGGAUCGUAAAACUCUGUUGUCAGGGAAGAACAAGUGCCGGAGUAACUGCCGGCACCUUGACGGUACCUGACCAGAAAGCCACGGCUAACUACGUGCCAGCAGCCGCGGUAAUACGUAGGUGGCAAGCGUUGUCCGGAAUUAUUGGGCGUAAAGCGCGCGCAGGCGGUCUCUUAAGUCUGAUGUGAAAGCCCACGGCUCAACCGUGGAGGGUCAUUGGAAACUGGGGGACUUGAGUGCAGAAGAGGAAAGU
rnacentral:rRNA from 1 species